UCCUAACGGCCUUCCGAGGGAAAAGUGUAACUCCAAUGUGACGAAACGAGUUUUUGACACCCCAGUUGAAAAGGCCUUUUUGAUCGACACGAGUUGCCGUACUUGUCCCUUUCACGAGCUCCGCCACGCAACUGCCGACCUGGAAACCAGGCAGCGCGCAUCAAGACUGAAUCUUGAAGUAACUUUGGAGGCGACGACGGCGUGAGACUUAUUUUCGCUUGCUCAAACGUGGUCCAUAAAAGGAAGGGUUCUGUCUUGAGCGCACAUGCUGCAGUCAGUGGGGUAAAAAAAGAAAGAAAGAAAGAAAGAAAGAAAGGAAAAAGACAGAGACAGAACUUUUUCUUCUCCCCCCGACAUCGGCGUAAAAUCCCACUCAGUGCUAAUCGUGUGCCGGCGUUGAGAGGCCGCAGCCGCUUAUCCUCACAAGAGUCGCAGGAGCGCUGGAGCCUAUCUCAGAUGUCAUCGGGCAGGAGGCGAGCAAACCGCAGUGGGGAUCGAACCCCGGCUCCUCGGAACUGUGAGGCCAACGCUCUUCCAGCUGACCCACAGUUGUCUGCGACCCAACGAGAGGCGGUGAAAUGCAUCGCAAAGACGAGUUCCAGUCCCCACGGCAACCGAAACGGCUUCUUCUACUGCGUAAACAUUCCACGGGGCGGCUCUUCGGAUUGAGCGCAACGGCCGCUCUCAAAGUGUGCAACGCGACCAAUCGCUGCGCUAAAUUUUCAAACCGUGCAAAACGUUACAGUGGCUUGAACGAUUUGAAACCCAGCGCAGAACAAUAAAAAUGGGACGCGAAUGAAGACGGCGUUUUCCGUCUCUCCCCCUCGACAUUAUUUGGGAUUCCUUUCCCGUCUCGUCUCGUCUGGCGUUUUGCCGUAAUUUGAGGGUUGUCUUUAAAGAGCAAGCGAACUUUAAAAGUGCCGCCAGCUUGUUUAUCGCUCGCGAGCGCCCAUCUGUCAUCUUACUAAUGACUGGGAGGGAUUGCAAUUAAAAAGAAAACACAAAA